CCUACGGGUGGCAGCAGUGGGGAAUAUUGGACAAUGGGGGCAACCCUGAUCCAGCGACGCCGCGUGAGUGAAGAAGGCUUUCGGUAUGUAAAGCUCUAUUGGCAGGGAAGAAAGAAGUGACGGUACCUGACUAAGAAGCCCCGGCUAACUACGUGCCAGCAGCCGCGGUAAUACGUAGGGGGCAAGCGUUAUCCGGAUUUACUGGGUGUAAAGGGAGCGUAGGCGGGGCUGCAAGUCGGAAGUGAAAGGCCGGGGCCCAACCCCCGUACUGCAUUUGAAACUGUAUGGCUUGAGUGCAGGAGAGGUAAGUGGAAUUCCGAGUGUAGCGGUGAAAUGCGUAGAUAUAAGGAGGAACACCAGUGGCGAAGGCGGCUUAUUGGACUGUAACUGACGCUGAGGCUCGAAAGCGUGGGGAGCAAACAGGAUUAGAUACCCGAGUAGUC
rnacentral:rRNA from 1 species